rnacentral:rRNA from 1 species
AGUGAACGCUGGCGGUAGGCCUAACACAUGCAAGUCGAACGGCAGCACAGUAAGAGCUUGCUCUUACGGGUGGCGAGUGGCGGACGGGUGAGGAAUACAUCGGAAUCUACUUUUUCGUGGGGGAUAACGUAGGGAAACUUACGCUAAUACCGCAUACGACCUACGGGUGAAAGCAGGGGAUCUUCGGACCUUGCGCGAUUGAAUGAGCCGAUGUCGGAUUAGCUAGUUGGCGGGGUAAAGGCCCACCAAGGCGACGAUCCGUAGCUGGUCUGAGAGGAUGAUCAGCCACACUGGAACUGAGACACGGUCCAGACUCCUACGGGAGGCAGCAGUGGGGAAUAUUGGACAAUGGGCGCAAGCCUGAUCCAGCCAUACCGCGUGGGUGAAGAAGGCCUUCGGGUUGUAAAGCCCUUUUGUUGGGAAAGAAAAGCAGCAGGUUAAUACCUCGCUGUUCUGACGGUACCAAAAGAAUAAGCACCGGCUAACUUCGUG